UUUAGCGUUUUGAAGAAAUUGGUUUUAUAUUGUCUAUAUUACAAAUACUUUAGAAAAAUAUGGGAUAAUUUGACAGAGAAUUAUAAAGAUGGGUAUAGACCCACUAUCUGCCUUUUUAUUGGGCACCUGUUGUUGUGUAUGUUGGCCUUGUCUAUUGCCGCUGUGUUUGUCUCUGCCCGUGAUCCCGCUACCGAUGUUGAUAAUACGGGAUCAGAGGCCCUGUCCUAGUCCACAGAACCCUCAAUAUAGAGCUGAGACUGGGUUCCCGGGAGGUUUGAGAAGCAGUCUAAGAACAUUCCCAUUUGACUUCAGUGGACAACGAUAUAACGUUAUUUGGGAUAAUAAUGAUUUAGUCUUUCAGCCGACGAGUAAAGCUUUGGUUACUGAGUGAAAUUUCCUUGUAAUUUGUGUAUUUCGUAUUAAAUUAUUUCAAAUGU